rnacentral:misc_RNA from 1 species
GGAUGGAAUAGAAUCAUAUCCCUGCAACAUCAAGGUAAUUAAUUUAUUGGGAACAGACAAAUAUUAACAUUCCAGUCUCAGUUGUUAACAGACAACAAUACCUCUGGUUUGAUAUCAUUAGGAUCAUCAAUAUAUUCUCUAUCAUCCCAGUCCGCUGGCUGCCAAGGUAACAAAAGUCAGUACAUACUUUAUGGGAAGAAACACCACAAUGUAAGGGGAUGGUCAAUUGAAUUAAUAUUCUUUAAUUACAAGUUUUUGGUGCCAGAGUGAAACUGACACUUCUCUUGCAUGCCACAUAGGUGGUUCAGGGGUGCAACGAGGAAACAUGAAAAAUUGCUGGGUGUUAAGGGCUACAAGCCUACAACAGAUCCAACCAUAGAACAGCAAAGCUCAUGACUUGUAUGUGACCAAGUUAGGUGUUAAUUUACCCAUUCAUCCAGUAUCUCACAGGAAAAAAAGGAAAACGUUCAUUUUUCGUGAUCUGUUCAGAAACCAAAGAUUACUAGUAUACUGGAAAAUGUAUGAUUGCUUUAAGCUUUAUCAAAAUUCUGUUUACCCAUGUGACCCACCCCUCUUCAUUCUACCUCCCAAAAGUAGUUAUAUGACUUUCAGAAGAAAGAAGAAAGGCAUCUUAAUAUCUUCAACUCACUGCUCAAGAUCAGCAAAUGGCACCAGAAUUGUCACAAGUCAUCAGAUUUUCCUAAAAAAAUGCUUCCCAAGUUCCGAUUCCAAGGACAAACCUUCUUUGCAUUUGUGUCUUUGAUUUUUCUUGGAGGAAGGAUAUCCCAGUCUGUGUACAUACUUCCAGAUUCUCUUUCUCGAUUAUCAAUUAAGACACUGUAAGAUGCAUCAGGCCUAAGAAUAAAUGUGUAGAAAUGAGUGAGCUUGUCAGUUUCACAUUGUAUAUCCCUUUUUAUGGGAUAAUUCUGCCCCUGGUAGGAGAGGAUAACAUGGAGCUUUUUUGUCUGUGAGCCACAUAUAUCAGGUCCAAACAUAAAACUGUAAGGAGUAUCACCGCCAAACUUUUUCUGAUUGACAUAACCAGAAAGAAGUUUAAUGUAACCACCACCACAUUCAAUGUUCUGCUCAAACUUAAUAGAGUAUUGGACGACUAGAGUCUUCUCUUUGUUGCUGAACUCCGGUAUCUUUGCGGAUAUGGCAAAAUGCUUGGCAUCAUUGUAUGUCUGGAGACCUUUAUCAUCAGGAUCUCCAGGCCAUUUCCCAGCUGUGUGCUUAAAUGUACCAGCUUUUCCUUCGCUUCUCUUCCAGUCCGAUAAAACCCAACGAUCCUUCCACCCAUCUUUUCCAUACCCACAUUCAAUUAUUCGAAAAGAAAACAAAAAUUAGCUUUCAACUCAGUUUAAUAGAACAGUAUUGAACCACAGCAGCUUUUUUGACCGUAAUUUGACCAGAACCUUCUAGAAGUAAGAAGAAAGAAACAGAGAGUAUUGAUCAAGAUCAUAAUAGUAGAAAUGAUUAGUCGACGAAUUAUAGCUUGGAUCAAGAGAAAACAAAAAACGUAUUUAAAAAAAAUCAAGAGAAAAAGUAGAGUGAUGGGAACAGAUUCUUUUCAAUCAGAG